rnacentral:rRNA from 1 species
AUACGGAGGGGGCUAGCGUUGUUCGGAAUUACUGGGCGUAAAGAGCAUGUAGGUGGUGUGGCAAGUUAGAGGUGAAAGGCCUGGGCUCAACCUGGGAACUGCCUUUAAUACUGUCACGCUAGAGUUAGGGAGAGGGUAGCGGAAUUCCAAGUGUAGAGGUGAAAUUCGUAGAUAUUUGGAAGAACACCGGUGGCGAAGGCGGCUACCUGGACCGACACUGGCACUGAGAUGCGAAAGCGUGGGGAGCGAACAGGAUUAGAAACCCCGGUAGUCC